GUCCACAUGGCCUGGGCCUCCGCUGGUUCAGUAGAAAGUCCCGGUCCAAAGUUAUCAGGAUUAUUCCGGUCUGGUUCGCCUCCUCCCAGUUCGAGGGCAAACCCCUCGUCCUAAUCCUCGGAAAACUCAUGAUCCAGAGAGCAAAGCUGGCCUCUACUUUGGACCACGUUGUUUUUGCUCCGUUGGUUCCGAUGAUUGGGUAUAGAGAGGUUUUGGCGUUGUCGGGAUACGUUUUGAGUAACGUGGCAUUUGUGCUUGCUGCAGUUUUUCUUUACAGAUAGUCAGGCCUCUGCAUGCUAAGCAUUGCUCUACUUGUGACCGCUGUGUCGAGCAGUUUGAUCAUCAUUGCUCUGCAGUUCUGGACGUAAAUACUACUUGCAUUCUUCUUGUAAUCAUGUCCGUUCUGUUGUAUCUGAUUAAUACUCAUCUGUAACUGCAGCGGAAUAAAUGGGAUUUCUUCAUGUUCCUUGUUUUAGAGGUGUCUGCCAUGGUGAUAACAGCUGCCAUAACCAUGAUAAGAAUCAAGACAAAUCCAACUGCUCCACAAUUUUUUGGUGCCUGGAUGAACCAUGCUGCUACUCAUCACCCGGGAAUAAGACUUCUUUGUUUCUACUUCUCUUCACAUCUGUAAAUUUAUCUUUCUCAUGGCUUUCGCGAACUCUUUCAUUGUAUAAAUUCUUGACAUGUGAAAUUUAGUUAUUGUCUAUGUAAAUAAUUUAUGUUUCGCUCUA